CCUACGGGUGGCAGCAGUGAGGAAUAUUGGUCAAUGGGCGCGAGCCUGAUCCAGCCAAGUAGCGUGAAGGAUGACUGCCCUCCGGGUUGUAAACUUCUUUUAUAAAGGAAUAAAGUGAGGCACGUGUGCCUUUUUGUAUGUACUUUAUGAAUAAGGAUCGGCUAACUCCGUUCCAGCAGCGGCGGUAAUACGGAGGAUCCGAGCGUUGUCUGGAUUUGUUGGGUUUAAAGGGAGUGUAGCGUGGUUGUUAAGUUAGUUGUGAAAGUCUGCGGCUCAACCGUAAAAUUGCAAUUGAUACUGGCAGACUAGAGUACAGUAGGGGUAGGCGGAAUUCGUGGUGUAGCGGUGAAAUGCUUAGAUAUCACGAAGAACUCCGAUGGCGAAGGCAGCUUACUAGACUGCCACUGACGUUGAUGCACGAAAGUGUGGGUAUCAAACAGGAUUAGAUACCCGGGUAGUC
rnacentral:rRNA from 1 species